AUCGCGGGGAUAAUGGAUGUCGGAUACCUGGUCAAUCUGGUCACAACUUCCUUUGAUUGCUUGCAUACCUAUUUGGCAGUGGUCUGGAGUCAGCGUUUCUGUAAAUUGUUUCUAAUAUGUAUCUUAAUGACCUUUUCGAGGCCAAUUUUUUAGUGCGCAAUGCGGUUUCAGUGCGGUUUCAGUGAUAGUGUCGCGUCGCGUCGUGAGUGCUUUCAGCUUGGCGUCGGGCAAUUGGAUACCUCUCUUCUGGUGCGUAUCUUACAGUUAUUUUCUUCUUGUCUUUAAAUUCAUCUAUUAUCCCUCAACAGUUGUUAGUUACAGGAUAAAUUUUUAUUUU
rnacentral:lncRNA from 1 species